rnacentral:antisense_RNA from 1 species
CUUCACCGACCCCAACCACAACGGCCGGUCCCCGGACCUUUCCUGACCAUAGGUCGCCAACAACGCCUGCGCCUC